rnacentral:rRNA from 1 species
UUGUUGGUGAGGUAACUGCUCACCAAGGCUUUGAUGUUUAGGGGGUCUGAGAGGAUGGUCCCCCACACUGGUACUGAGACACGGACCAGACUCCUACGGGAGGCAGCAGUGAGGAAUAUUGGGCAAUGGGUGCAAGCCUGACCCAGCCAUGCCGCGUGCAGGAUUGAAAGCUUUUUAGUUGUAAACUGCUUUUCUGCAGGAAGAAACCCAUUGACGUGUCAAUGGUUGACGGUACUGUAGGAAUAAGGAUCGGCUAACUCCGUGCCAGCAGCCGCGGUAAUACGGAGGAUCCAAGCGUUAUCCGGAUUCACUGGGCUUAAAGGGUGCGUAGGCGGGGCAAUAAGUCAGUGGUGAAAGCCUGCAGCUUAACUGUAGAAGUGCCAUUGAUACUGUUGUUCUUGAGUUCAGAUGGAGUGGGCGGAAUGUGUUAUGUAGCGGUGAAAUGCAUAGAUAUAACACAGAACACCGAUCGCGUAGGCAGCUCACUAAACUGAUACUGACGCUGAGGUACGAAAGCGUGGGGAGCGAACAGGAUUAGAUACCCUGGUAGUCCACGCUGUAAACGUUGAUUACUAGAUGUAUGCUAUUUAUUGCAUGUGUCAAAGCGAAAGCAUUAAGUAAUCCGCCUGGGGAGUACGAUCGCAAGGUUUAAACUCAAAGGAAUUGACGGGGGCCCGCACAAGCGGAGGAACAUGUGGUUUAAUUCGAUGCUACGCGAGGAACCUUACCUGGGCUUAAAUGUAGUAGGUCCAUCCUGGAAACAGGAUUCUCUUCGGAGCAAGCUACAAGGUGUUGCAUGGCUGUCGUCAGCUCGUGCCGUGAGGUGUAGGAUUAAGUUCCGUAACGAGCGCAACCCCUAUUGUUAGUUGCCAGUUCCAUUAGGAAGGGACUCUAACGAAACUGCCAGUGAAAACUGGAGGAAGGUGGGGAUGACGUCAAGUCAGUACGGCCCUUAUGCCCAGGGCUACACACGUGUUACAAUGGCUAGUACAACGGGUUGCUACCUCGUGAGAGGACGCUAAUCUCUAAAACUAGUCUCAGUUCGGAUUGAAGUCUGCAAUUCGACUUCAUGAAGUAGGAUUCGCUAGUAAUCGCGCAUCAGCCAUGGCGCGGUGAAUACGUUCCCGGGCCUUGUACACACUGCCCGUCAAGCCAUGGAAGCCGGGGGUAUUUGAAGUUCGUAACCGCAAGGAGCGAACAAGGGUAAAUCCGGUGACUGGGGCU